GGGAUAUCAGAAGUCAUCGAAUGUGGUACUAAUGAGGACGGCUGAACUCCAGGAAGCUGUCUCCAUUCUGUUGUGUGUGGGGAAAUCCUGGUAUUAUUCGUACGGUUGUUGACAGAAGGAGCAUUAGUUCAGCUUCAUUGAGAGUAUCCUGGAAGCUUGUAUAUGUGGAAAUAGAAUGCAAUGACAAUCGUAUUUGGGUAUGGGCCAGAAGCAAUAAAGGAGAAGACUGCUCUUGGAAAAAGCAGAACACGAAACGAGAAUGGAAGCCAGGCUUAACUAUGACGAGUAUGUCUGAUCUCCAGACCAGGUCAAAACCAGAU
rnacentral:lncRNA from 1 species